rnacentral:rRNA from 1 species
GAUGAACGCUGGCGGCGUGCCUAAUACAUGCAAGUAGAACGCUGAAGGAGGAGCUUGCUCUUCUGGAUGAGUUGCGAACGGGUGAGUAACGCGUAGGUAACCUGCCUGGUAGCGGGGGAUAACUAUUGGAAACGAUAGCUAAUACCGCAUGACAACAGUUAUUGCAUGAUAACUGUUUAAAAGGUGCAACUGCUCCACUACCAGAUGGACCUGCGUUGUAUUAGCUAGUUGGUGAGGUAACGGCUCACCAAGGCGACGAUACAUAGCCGACCUGAGAGGGGGAUUGGCCACACUGGGACUGAGACACGGCCCAGACGCCUACGGGAGGCAGCAGUAGGGAAUCGUCGGCAAUGGACGGAAGUCUGACCGAGCAACGCCGCGUGAGGGAAGAAGGUUUUCGGAUCGGAAAGCUCUGUUGUAAGAGAAGAACGAGUGUGAGAGUGGAAAGUUCACACUGUGACGGUAUCUUACCAGAAAGGGACGGCUAACUACGUG